CCGUUCCGCGAGCGCUUAACGACCCUUCCCCGGGGAGGUCUCCACGUGCGAUGACGGUGGGCAGCCCAUCCGACUAUAUAAAUACAGUAGACACAUACUUUUGUUUAUUUGUAUUUAAGGAGGCUCCGUGCCCACCGUAGAGCCCAGUGUGGGGCCUGAACUUAGGCCCUGAGAUCAGCAGCUAUCGCGUGACCUACUGAGCCCCCCGGGUAUCCCAAGUUUGAUUUAGCUCCAGUAAAGAGACUCCAGCAAACCAUUGGAUAUAUCACACUGGGGUCAGAGAACAAAGCAAGAGAGAAUAUGUCCGGUGCCAACGUGGAGAUGAUGACUUGACUAUGAAGCAAGAGUCUUUAUGAAAGACAAAAAGGAGACUAGAGGAUUUCUGUUGAGAACAUACCAGAAGGUCUCCAACUGGUACAAUCUGGAUAGUCCAGUGUGAUACAAUAUUUUAAGAACUGAUAAUAUUUCUAAAAAGUCAAACCAAAAAUAUCAUUGUAACAACAUUCUUUUGCUUCUCCGAGAUUUAGAUACCUUACCUUAAAUAAUAAACCAAA